rnacentral:rRNA from 1 species
GAUGAACGCUAGCUACAGGCUUAACACAUGCAAGUCGAGGGGAAACGGCAUCGAAAGCUUGCUUUUGAUGGGCGUCGACCGGCGCACGGGUGAGUAACGCGUAUCCAACCUGCCCAUCACUUGGGAAUAACCUUGCGAAAGUAAGACUAAUGCCCAAUGACAUCCCACGAAGGCAUCCGAAUGGGAUUAAAGAUUUAUCUGUGAUGGAUGGGGAUGCGUCUGAUUAGCUUGUUGGCGGGGUGACGGCCCACCAAGGCAACGAUCAGUAGGGGUUCUGAGAGGAAGGUCCCCCAGAUUGGAACUGAGACACGGUCCAAACUCCUACGGGAGGCAGCAGUGAGGAAUAUUGGUCAAUGGGCGAGAGCCUGAACCAGCCAAGUAGCGUGCAGGAUGACGGCCCUAUGGGUUGUAAACUGCUUUUAUAAGGGAAUAAAGUGGGUCACGUGUGACUUUUUGCAUGUGCCUUAUGAAUAAGGACCGGCUAAUUCCGUG